rnacentral:lncRNA from 1 species
ACGCCUGAGAAGGCCCUGGGAGGCCUGACCCCCCGCCCGGGCCCCCAGGGGCAGGACCAGGGUCUCCCUCCCAGCAGCGGACGACAGAGCUCUCCCGCCAGCCCCGCCCCCCGAGCCGCCCCCCCCCCCCCCCCCCCGCCCCCGCCCCCGCCCCCGCCUCCACCUCGCUCACCCACAGCGAGCCCCCUCCGCCCCGCCCCGCAGCAGCAGCCCUCCCGCCCGCACCCCCAGGUGCCCGGCAAGGCCCCUCCCCGCCUCCGGGGGCCACGCGUGGACGCAGCCCGCAGAGGGCAGCAGAGGCGCAGCGCUGGGCCGCACGCCCGCCGGCGGUGCUUCGGUAAGUGGCACGCGGGUGCCGGGGCCUGGCAGGCGGCGGGGAGGCCGCGGUAGCGGCGUGGGAGCCCGGGGAGGGGAGGUGCCGCAGCCCGCGCCCAGCUCCGCUCGAGCGCAGGCGGCACAGGCGGCACAGGCGGCACAGGCAGGGCGUGGAAGGGCGGGCUCCCGCGGGCAGGGGCGGCCGCGGCGCGGAGGAAGGACCGGAGGUGGGACACCCAGGGGCUGCGUGCAGGGCUGCGGGCGCGGAGAGCGCAGGGGCGCGAGGGCCUGAAAGCAGCGCCGGGCACACCCGCCAGCAGCCUCCCCGCGCGUCGGGAGCCGAAGCCGUGGCGAGCCGCACGGGAGACGGGGCGGGGGGCCCCACGGGGGGGGUGGCCUACGGGGCGAGGGGGGCCCAGCGCGGCCUCGGAAAAGCACGGUGGCGCGGCAGGUGCCAGGCCGGGCGGGGAGAGGCCUCACUGAGGACUUGCUCCGGUACGGCGGGCGGAGACCCUGCGGCCGCGGCGGCACAGUGGUGACCACGGACGCGUCCUCGCCGUGGGCCUGUGUGGGGUAAGGAAACUGCUGUCAAGCGUUAACGAAAAUGCUCAAGAUCACCGAAGAGCAAAUUCACUCUUCCAACCCAGGGCUGUGUGUCCUUUGCUCUCAGACGGGCCUUGAUUCACUUCUAGACCCAGCUGGUGAACUGGCGAACGUCCAAGGUCCCAGCGAACCCGCGGGGGGCUUCCAGAGGCAGAGCCCACCCAGCCUUGCGGAGAGGGCAUGCCCGGGACACCUGACCACCGCACAGCCUCCACCAGUCAGCGAUUUGGGAAACCUCAGUCACCAGGUAUCGGCAGGAUUAAAACAUGUCCAGCUUUUCCUAACGAGAGCAAGGACACGCAGUAUUUCUUCCACUUUCUUCUCGACACCUUGCACCUACCCAGACGGAAGCAGACCUUCUGCAGCCUUGUCUGUGGCAGGGAAUGGAAUUCCAGUGACUCUGCACAGAGCAGUGAUCUUGGGGCUACUUGGACGGACUGUAUACCUCCUCACUGGCACUCGCGUUUCCAGAGAGCCCGUGCCGAUGGCCGCUGACAUGACAGCUACACCUGGUCACCGAGCACAGAGAUGCACCUCGUGCAGGAUCUUGCAGAACCUAAGAUAUUUCAUAGCAACACUAAUUCCAUCUGUUGUACGUGACAGGAAAUGGGUCAGUUCUACAGUGUUUCAGGAACACACCUGA